CUGAUGUGGGGACUCCCCGGAGGCCACUCUCCCCGGGCGCUGUCCAGGUGGCAUAGAGGAGCACAGGGCUCAGGGCCCGGGACAGACAGUCCUUUUCCACAGCGUCGGAGAUGAAGCCGGGCCUGGAGCCUGUGGCUGCAUAUUCCUACAGCUUCUAUAGUCCCGUGGACAAUGACUGAGGAGACAAGCCAUGCAAGACACAGCC
ensembl:snoRNA SNORA73 Small nucleolar RNA SNORA73 family